rnacentral:rRNA from 1 species
UACGAAGGGGGCUAGCGUUGCUCGGAAUCACUGGGCGUAAAGCGCACGUAGGCGGCUUUCUAAGUCGGGGGUGAAAUCCUGGAGCUCAACUCCAGAACUGCCUUCGAUACUGGAGAGCUCGAGUCCGGGAGAGGUGAGUGGAACUGCGAGUGUAGAGGUGAAAUUCGUAGAUAUUCGCAAGAACACCAGUGGCGAAGGCGGCUCACUGGCCCGGUACUGACGCUGAGGUGCGAAAGCGUGGGGAGCAAACA